rnacentral:rRNA from 1 species
UACGGAGGGUGCAAGCGUUGUCCGGAUUUAUUGGGUUUAAAGGGUGCGUAGGUGGCGCCGUAAGUCGGGUGUGAAAUUUCGGAGCUUAACUCCGAAACUGCAUUCGAUACUGCGGUGCUUGAGGACUGGAGAGGAGACUGGAAUUCAUGGUGUAGCAGUGAAAUACGUAGAGAUCAUGAGGAAGACCAGUGGCGAAGGCGGGUCUCUGGACAGUUCCUGACACUGAGGCACGAAGGCCAGGGGAGCAAACGGG